rnacentral:rRNA from 1 species
UACAGAGGGUGCGAGCGUUGUCCGGAAUCACUGGGCGUAAAGGGCGCGUAGGCGGCUCAGUAAGGUUGCGGUGAAAGCCCGGGGCUCAACCCCGGGUCGGCCGUGGCAACUGCUGGGCUGGAGCACUGUAGAGGCAGGUGGAAUUCCGGGUGUAGCGGUGGAAUGCGUAGAGAUCCGGAAGAACACCGGUGGCGAAGGCGGCCUGCUGGGCAGUAGCUGACGCUGAGGCGCGACAGCGUGGGGAGCAACAGG